GACGAACGCUGGCGGCGUGCUUAACACAUGCAAGUGGAGCGACGAACCGGGCUUCGGCCCGGGGCCAAGCCGCGAACGGGUGAGUAUCACGUGGGUAACCUGCCCCGAUGACCGGGAUAACCCGAGGAAACUCGGGCUAAUACCGGAUGUGCUCUCCGCACAUCAGUGCAGAGAGCAAAGGAAGCUUCGGCCUCCGCAUUGGGAUGGGCCCGCGGCCCAUUAGCUUGUUGGUGGGGUAACGGCUCACCAAGGCUGCGAUGGGUAGCUGGUCUGAGAGGACGAUCAGCCACACUGGGACUGAGACACGGCCCAGACUCCUACGGGAGGCAGCAGUAGGGAAUCUUGCGCAAUGCGCGAAAGCGUGACGCAGCAACGCCGCGUGAGGGAAGAAGGCCUUCGGGUUGUAAACCUCUUUCAGGAGGGACGAAGGUCCAGGCGCGAAUAGCGUCCUGGACUGACGGUACCCCCAGAAGAAGCCCCGGCUAACUACGUGCCAGCAGCCGCCGUAAAAC
rnacentral:rRNA from 1 species